rnacentral:rRNA from 1 species
GGAGUUAGCCGGUGCUUCUUCUGUGAGUGAUGUCCUUCCUGCCGGCUAUUAACCCGCAGGCCUUCUUCCUCACUGAAAGUGCUUUACAACCCGAAGGCCUUCUUCACACACGCGGCAUGGCUGGAUCAGGGUUGCCCCCAUUGUCCAAUAUUCCCCACUGCUGCCUCCCGUAGGAGUCUGGGCCGUGUCUCAGUCCCAGUGUGGCUGAUCAUCCUCUCAGACCAGCUACGGAUCGUCGCCUUGGUGAGCCGUUACCUCACCAACCAGCUAAUCCGACAUAGGCUCAUCCGAUAGCGCGAGGCCCGAAGGUCCCCCGCUUUCCCCCGUAGGGCGUAUGCGGUAUUAGCCUGGGUUUCCCCCAGGUUAUCCCCCGACUACCGGGCAGAUUCCUAUGCAUUACUCACCCGUCCGCCGCUCGCCACCAGGGAGCAAGCUCCCCGUGCUGCCGCUCGACUUGCAUGUGUUAGGCCUGCCGCCAGCGUUCAAUCUGAGCCAUAAUACAAACUCUGA